UUUUUUUUUUAGACUUCCAUUCAGAUAAUUCCAAAAUCUGUCUUACCUUGGUACUGGUGUAUGUUGAUUACAUCUCACUCAAGUUGAGAUUUUCCCAGGUUUUGGUAUGAUGAGUGACUUUUUAAAUAGAAAACUGGAUAUUUUGAGUAUUUUGUUAUGAUAUUCUGCCUCUUUGUGAAGGCUUUUGCUGUAGCAGACCUCUUCUGACACUAUUCUGGCAGAGGAUAGUGGGAAGGUGUUUAUCAUGACUGCCACGUGGAAGUGAAAGUCCAACUUCCCCAUUCGGCCUCCUCUGCACCAACCCAGCAAGGAGAGGUAGGAGGGGCCUUGCUACCUUUGGAUGGGGUCCUCAGGUGGCCUCCUAUGGGGGGGUACAUUAUCACCAGAUGGGUAUGAAAGUCCUGACUCCCCACUAUGUCUUCUCUGACACCACAGGGUGGGAGGUGGUAUAGGAGCCUUGUUUCACCUAGUUAUAACUGAGCAAGAGUGGCUUGGUUCCCCAUUCAACCUUUGCUAAUGGGGGUGAGGCUGUGGGUUUCAUCCACAUCAUUUGGCUUGGGGAGAACCAUUUUUCUCUAAAAGUUUUCUGUCUUACUGGGUGCCCAUUUCUGGUCUUCGGCCUGAGACAGCAGGCUUUCCUUGGGACUUCUGUUGUUUCUCCCACUGACAUUUCCAGGUUUCUGGCUUCUUCAGCUUCAUGUCUGGGAUAUAUGAAAUACAAAGAAAGCUCAGAAAUUUUAUUGCCAUGAUCCAAGGUGACCAGCAAGAUGGCCUUCUUCACUCCACCUUUGAGUUUUCUUGUAUUUGUUUUAUAUUCAGUGUCCAGAGUCUGUAACUAUACUUAGCAAGAGGAACAGAGAGAAGUGUGUCUUCCCACUCGCUUGUUUUUACCCUUAGUAUUUCCAUAGCUAAUAAUAACAAUAAAGGCUAUCAUGUUUUGAGUUGUAUCUACAUGGCUAACACAAUCUAAUUCAUUUAAUUCUCAAAAUAAUCCUAUGAGGAAAGCAUAAUAGUUAUGUUUUCCAUUCUAUUCAAAAAGAAAUUGAAAUUCAGAAAUAAUAAUGUAAAGCUUUAGAAUAAUGUCUAGCACACAUACAAAUAAAUGUUAGGGAAAAUAAUAAUAUAAUAUUAAGUGUUGUUAUAACAGUAUAUUAAGAAAUGUGAAUAUAAUUAUAAAUAUUAUUAAUUACCUUAGAGUUGUUAAUGUGUGUGAUGGACACAACUUUUAAGUGGAGGAUUAGAACUCCAAUACAAGAUAGUAUAAGUAGAUGCUUGUAAACAGGAGGUUGUAAUUUCUCUCAAUUUGAGUCAACCAUUUAGAUUAAGCAAUUUCUGCUGCAUCCCAUUUUAUAUCUUUAUAUCUCUUGCUAUUUCACUGCUACUUUUCUUCUCUUCACUUCCUCUAGAGUUAUGGUUCCCAUAUCCCUCUCCAUUUAUAGCCUAAUAAGAAAACAACCAACUUGCAUAUAAUAUGUAUAAGGUUGAACGAGUGAUUUUAUAUUUGUUACAUUUAAUAUUUUGUUGAAACCUCCUAACGACCUCAUUAGCAGGUAUUAAUUAUCACUCUUCUUUAAAACUGAAGUUCAGAGGAAUUCAGGGACUGGCUGAAGGUCACAUGGUUAGGAAGUGGUCGAGAUAGGACUUGACCCCAGUGCUAUUUCCACCACCCUAUGCUGCAUCUGUAGCCACAGCACACUUUCACAUCCUCCAUGUAGCUCUAUAUGCUUAUAGCUCACCUCCUUCACCUCAUUCUCCUAGAAGAAUGAAAAGGCCUUGGAGGAGGGGUGAAUGGGAGGGGAAAGACCUAGCAAAGGAAGAGGUGCCUUGAUUUUUACAGAUAUCCUCAAAGGGCUGUUGGCCCAUGAAGAUGUUGGAAGUAUGACCAUGUAAUAACACACCUUUCUCCUGUUGCUUGCAUCUCUUGUGGAGUCAUGUUUUGAGAACUUAUGAAGAAUGGAAUGAUUGGGUGAAUGGAGGAAUGAUAGAUGGUUUAGAAAGAAACUGGCCACAUAGGGGAUUACUGCAACACAUUUUAGUCAUAGGAUACAGACAAAAGCAGAGAGAGUUAAGAUCAAGCACAGGCAAUUAGGAGGACAUUUAAAAGGCAAAUUUGCUAGGUUACCAAAAUUCAGUAGGGUGUGUGUGUGUGUGUGUGUGUGUGUGUGUGUGUAUUUAGGAGAAAAAGACAGAGAAGUGGGGGGAUUAUUCAUGACAGUGAUGCUGCCUAGGUUUCUAAUUUGAAAACCUGGAUGGAUCAUUUUGUUCAUAAUUGAGGUUAAAAAAAAAAAAAACGGUUUCAAGGAGGAUAGAGUAGUGACGUUAGAAUGCUAAAGAGAGGACAAUGUAAAUAAGGACUGUAUCAAAGUAUCUGGAUUUGAAACUUGGGAGGUAAUUCAUGGCUUCAGAACAAUGCCUGCAAUAGGUGGAGACAGAAGCAGAAAGAAUAGUGGGGUGAGAUGGGCAUGCUGAGCAAUGAUUUGGAAGCUAGGAGAAACUCUUCAUGCCAUCAUGCUGUGGCAGGCUAAUGGCAUUUGGAAUUCGAAGAUACAAUUUUGAAGUCUGGUAUUGCUUACUUGCCAUGCAGCCUUUGGCAAAUCAAAGCCUUUUACUCUGUUUCCUAAAGAUGAGCAACAGUUUGCUCUGUCCACUUUCCUGUGAUCUCUUUCCUCAUUGUGUGUAACAGGAUAAAUGAUGUCAUGAAAUUGAAGCUUUUUUGCCCCUCUUUUAAACAAAUCCACCCACUCAACAAUAGUACCUUCCAUCCAGAUCAACUGGGAUUGAUUUGCCACUUGACUGAAUUGUGGCUAAAUGUUGUGAGAGUAGGUAGAGUUUUCUAGAAAUCUAUGAUGGUUAUAUGUGGGGAGACCAUACAGAAAUAUAGCCUUCUUUCCAGUUAGUCCCUGACUGACAGUUAAACCUUGUUACUAAUAAGUUAAUGUGCAUAAUUAAUAGAUAUAGUGCAUUUUCCACUUUGGCACCUCUUAAAAAAUUUUAAAAAAAGUAUUUUUGGUUCCUUCGAAAGAUAUUAAAUUAAUGUAACCUCUCAUCUCACAUUUUCUUAUAUGGUAAACAUGUAUUGAGUACUGACAAUGUGCUAAACCCUUUGAAUAUUAAGAAAUCACUUAUUUCAAGUUUAUCUUGUGCAGAAAUAUAGGAUCAGCUUCCACUAACUUCAGGUCAAAACACUAUGCAGAGACUGUAUUUUCUAUUUCUUCUAUACCCCUACUGCAAUUUAAUUCAAUGAUAAUAAAACUUGCCAACAUUUAUUCUGAAUCCAUACCAUAAUCUUAGAUUUAAUUAUCUCCAUUUUAGCAGAUGAGAAGCCUAGCUUUAAAAAAAUGGCAACAUUGGACUUCCCACUGAGGCUCAGUAGGUUAAGAACCCAACAUGAUAUCCAUGAGGAUGCAGAUUCAAUCCCUGGCCUUAGUGGGUUAAGGGUCUGGCGUUGCCACAAGCUGAAUGUCCGUUGUACAUAUGGCCAGGAUCUGGUGUUGCCAUGGCUGUGGUGUAGGCUAUAGCUGCACCUCUUAUUUGGCCCCUAGCCUGGGAACUUCCAUAUGCCGCAGGUGCAGCCGUUAAAAAAAAAAAAUGGCAAAACAAAUUUAAAUGCCCAUUAUAGAGCUAAGCAUAGUAGCUGCUGAAUAAAUAUGUGAUCAUCCUGUAACAGGAUCUUCACUAUUUUAAGAUUAGUAGGGAGCCAAGUACAUUCUCACUGCAGGCAUGCAAAUAAGUGAAAAACAGCAACCAUGCAAUAAGUGUUUCUGGACUAUCCUGCAUCUCUGUCCUACUACUUCCAUUUAUUCACUUAUACAUCCAUUUAUUUAUUUAGCAAUGAGAACAAAGUAGUAGCUAUGUUAAUUCAUAUGUCUGUUAGUCCACAUGACUUAUGAGUCCAUAGAUACAUUCUGACUGUACUUGCAAAACUCUAACCUCUGGUUGCCAGUACAUAACUGCAAACAAUAGUAGGCACACUUAACACAACUGGAGUGACAGUAUGUCCUGUGCCUGAGGUAUCCUGGAAUCCCUUGAAUGACUUGGGUCCUAGAACAGGAUCCAUGUUACUAAUCAAAUCCUUGUCCAUAGGUCUUUAGAAUGCCAGACUUUAUCCUUGGGAUCUCAACUGCCAUGGAGGGCUCUUCUCCAUCUCUUUGGCAGAAAUAUAUCAGGGCACCACCAAAGGGUCAACUCUCUGCAAGGCCCCACCAACCAUAUUGGGACCUGAGGUAAAAGGGAUAAAAAUCUAUGGUACUGACCUUGUCUUUGUUUUGCUACAAUUGGGGGGGGGCAUUAAGCUAGAUUUUAAAUUUAAGAUGCCCCCUUAAAUUUGUGCCCAGUGGGGGGACAUUAAGCUAGAUUUUGAAUUUAAGAUGCCCUCUUAAAUUUGUGCCGAGAGUUACCCCGGUCCCCACCUUGGCCUUUUGCAAGAGGAUUAAGAGUGAGACUUGAGCCACAUGAGCACAGGAAAUGGCAGAGUUCCAGACAUGUUUUCUUGAACUGACCCUCAGUGCAUUGUUUGCAUAGGAAAUAAAGUCCAUCUGGGGUCAUUCUUUACUCAAUGUGCUCAACCUUCAGUGAUCUAUAUUCCUCUCCUUUGUAUUUCAAAACCCUUCUUAAUCCCUAUAAAUGGAGACUGACAUAGUCCAGAAGAAAUAAUGUAAAAUGGCCUCACUGGUCUAAGUAUUAAGAAAACAAACCUGGACACUGGCUUUCAGAGGCUGACUAGAGGCAGAUCUGCCCACAGAUGCCAUUCUAGGAAGGAAGACUCAUUUUAGAGCCCAGCCUUUGCAGCAUUCCUUUCAGAAGCAACAUUCAAACAUAUACUGGACUGUCAUCCUGAAGCCUCCAUUAAUUCCUUCAGAUUCUCCUGGGAAGUGACCCAAUGUUUUCUGGGUCUGCCUGACUAUCCAUCAGGUGAGCCUGGGCAGCUCUUUGAAUCUAGUUCAAAUUUCCCCUUGAUGUUAAAAAACAACAGAACCCUGAAAGGAGUUUCCAUCCAUUCUGGAAAACAGGGCAACUGGCUCAGAGACUGUUUACCAGACUUAUUAUUGAAAGGAUGUGAUCUGAGUUUUACAACCAGUGAUCCAUUAUCAUACUAAUGAGAAGAUAGGUAGAUAAAGGAAUUCCAGAGAUACUCCAAGGUUCCCAUUUGUGUCAGUAGUUUUGCUUUUUAAAAAUUCUCUCCUAGAGUUCCCAUCAUGGCGCAGUGGAAACAAAUCCGACUAGGAACCAUCAGGUUACGGGUUCUAUCCCUGGCCUUGCUCAGGGGGUCAAGGAUCUGGCAUUGCCGUGGGCUGUGGUGUAGGUCACAGACACAGCUCGUACCUCACGUUGCUGUGUCUCUGGCGUAGGCCUGUGGUUACAGCUCUGAUUAGACCCCUACUUGGGACCUUCUAUAUGCCACGGGUGCGGCCCUAAAAAGACAUAAGCCAAAAAAAAAAAAAACCCAAAAAAAACCCAGCUCUUUUUGCCCAACUCUUGGUUGGAUCUGAUGGCAGGUAUCCAAGCAAACUGGCUGAUUUGGAUGUGCUUUUCCCAAGACGAAGAAGCCCUUCCAACACAUCCACUUCUCAGUUCUUACUCUCAGGUCUCAACUGGGAAGCUGAAUCCUUUAUGACCAAUUCCUCAGUCAACCUCCACCUGAAUUACUUCCCCCUUCCUUGGUGCUCACAUAGCACUUUUCUUGAAUAUGCUAACACAUUUAUUUCUGCUUCAGAUUAUGGUUAUACGUUACCACAUUCUAAUGGCUGGAUCUAGGCAAUUCCUUAAUCCCUCUACCUCAGUUUUCUUGUUUGUAAAUGGAGAUAACAAUUAUCUUGCCAAAUUAUUGUGAAAGACCUGGACUCAAAUUAUGAAUCCCCAGUUUCCAGGUCUUCCUUGGAGAUGUUAUUUAACUUCCCUACCUUCAUUUUAUGAAUUUGUGAGAUGGAAAGAAAUACUGCCUCUCUGACAGAAGUUCCUAUGAGAAUUAUGAGAUAAAGUAUGUUUAAAAAAAAGUAACUAUUGGAGUUCCCUGGUGGCUCAGCAGUUUAAGGCUCUGCCCUUGUCACAGAUGUGGCUUGGGUCGCUGCUGUGGCACAGACUGGAUCCCUGGCACUGGGAUUUCUCCAUGACAUUGGGGGUGGUGAAAAAAAAGAAAAAAAAAAAGGUAACUAUUAUCAUUUUAUUGACAUUCUUGUUUUCUUGAUUAGACUGUAUACUCCUCAGGGGAAGAAGCUGUAUUUCAUUUGUCUUCUUAUCACCUAUAGAUAAUCUUAGCUGGUGGUCAAUAAGUGUUUGCAAGGUGCUGAAUAUUUUUUUGUCCUUCUACCUCAAUUGGUUUAUAUUACCUGUAAGGACUUGAUCAUGUUCAGCUUUGUCUUGGAAUUUAUGUGUCUUAUUUUCCUUUCUCUUUUGCAGUGUGCUUUAUGCAAAACAGCCACUCAGAAAAUACCACACAAGUAAAUGGAAUAAUACCAAUGAAUUCAAGGGUUCUUUACAACUCAGCAUCAUCAAAUUUUUAUUGAUAACUGACUGAAAUACUGCAUUCAAGGCCAAGUUAAAUUUCCCCCUUUGGAGAGUGAUACUUUUCAAAAAAUCUGCAAUCACCAAAUGAGCAAUUAAUGAGCAGAAGGCUUUUUCUGUAUAACAUGGACGUAUGUCCUUGUGCUGCACUGACAGGCUGUGUGCGAGCCGCAUCUUUGAUGCCAUAGUCUCUCCCUCACUAUCUAAGGAAAGAGAGCAGGCAGUAAGAAACAGGUUUCUUUUUGUUUCAGAUGAUGUCAUUCAGGUCCAGCAGGAAGGAUCUGCUGUCUGUUCUCAUUUUUUCUGCUCUGAGGAGCUCUCUUUGCUCCCCUUGACACUGGCACAACCGAGCAGGCUAAGAGUUGGGAGGGAGAUUGAAAUGGCUGAUAUACCACCAGCUCUAAAAACACAUGACAGCAGAAAGCUGGGCUAUUACUAAUGCUGAUCAGCUCGGAGGCAAUGCAAUCAAAACCUUCAAUUACACCUGGGUGAUUUAAUCAACUCCCUGUCAAACUCGGGUUGGAACUCCUCUGGUACUGUACAAAUACAGUAAUUACCACGCCAGCUUGCAAUAAGAUAUCAUUUCAGUGAAUUAGAAAACACAUUCUGUUGUCAAUUACCACCAGUCAAUUUAUAGGCCCUGAAACAAGCAAUAUUUUUUAAUUGCUGCCUUUGUGUCAUUAUCACAAAAUUACUUCUGUUAUGAGGCAUUAAAUCAUCUCAGCAAUGUUGGGAGUGGGGUGGGGGGGAGAUUGAAAAGUUUGCACUGUGUUCUUUCCUGAUCAAAUGGGAAUAGAAGCAUAAAACUGGUAUCCCACUGUGUUGGAUUUUGAAAUAAAAAAACAAUCAAACCCCCCCCAGAGAGUCUCAACUAUGCAAACAAUCAUCAACAAAUCCUGAAGCUACAUGAAUGGAUCAGAGAGUAGGAAACCAGAAGUCAGAUUUAUUUUAACCUGCCUGUGCUUUUUUGGUACUCCUUGGCCCCAUCUGUCUCCCACAGUCUAUCUUCCAGGCUUCAUUUUGUAGAGGUGUUGCCUUUGAGGAUGUGUUUCAGUUGAGAGCAGAUGUGGCCACGGUCACUGGAGAUCUGCAGAUUUAAAAGAUUUGAAAUUUUUCUACUGUAUCCUCCUUUUCCCAAGCUUAUUUGCCCAGUCUAAAGAGUAACAGCCCUUGGUCUUGCCAGCUCCAUUAAGCUCCUCUAAUUCUUCUCUUCCUAUGCAAAAGGAACACCUGACACACCCCUACCCACCGGCCCACCCCAUUCCAGCCUCCACAAAGCUUAUUUGAGUUAGUUCUAAAAGGAGACACUUUUAUUCUUCCAGAUGAUAUGUAAGGGAAAAAAAUAUUAUAUUAUCAUUAUUAUUAUUACUACUAUUAACCAUUUUUUUGGCCUAGCCUGAGGCAUGUGAAAGUUCCUGGGCCAGGAAUCAAACCCGAGCCGUAGCAGUGACAAAUGCCAAGUAUCCAACCUCUAGACCACCAGGGAACGCCAUCGUCUUUAUUAACAGUACACAUUUUAUUCACUUACAGCAUCCCUGGCACUGUUCUCAAUAUUUUACUCAUCCUAUAAAGUAUGUAUUUGUGUUGUUCCCAUUUCACAAGUGAGGAGCUAUUGCACUGUUUGUUUAGAAUUUGGUGUCCCAGUGAUGUCAUGGAAAGAACAUAGGCUGUGUCUCAGGAAGAGCCGGGUCUGAAUCUUGCCACUGCCAUUUAGUUGCUGUGUCAUAUUCGGUCAAUUAUGUACCCACUCUUAGCUCUGGUUUCCUUAUCUUCGAAAAGGCAAAAAUAGUAACGAUAAUAUUUAUGAAGUAUGUCACGCAUUCUUUUACAAGUUUUGAUGUAUUAACUCCAAUUUCCACAAUGCCUCUAUGAGGUAGAAACUAUAGUUACCCCUAUUUUACCCAUGAUGAAACUGAGAUAUAGGAGAGAAGUAAGGUAACUUGCCCAAAGUUACAAAGCAAGGGAGCAUUGGAGCUUCUGAGGUACCCAUUAUCCUCCUAUAUUGCCUCUUUUUUUUUUUUUUUCCUUUUUUU
rnacentral:lncRNA from 1 species